AAUAAUCCAUCUCACCCUUUGUGCACCACCGCGUGGGCACCCUUCGGGAUCAGACCGAUCUCGGAGGGGGCUUGCGUUUUCACACAAACCCCCUUUUUAAAAGUGUAGAAUGACCUCAUUUAUGCAAUCAAUACAACUUUCAACAACGGAUCUCUUGGCUCUCGCAUCGAUGAAGAACGCAGCGAAAUGCGAUACGUAAUGUGAAUUGCAGAAUUCAGUGAAUCAUCGAAUCUUUGAACGCACCUUGCGCCCCUUGGUAUUCCGAGGGGCACACCCGUUUGAGUGUCGUGAAAACCUCAACCUCCUUGGUUUCUUCUGGAGACCAAAGGAGGCUUGGACUUUGGAGGCCUUUGCUGGCGUCUCUCUUUUGAAGGCCAGCUCCUCUCAAACAAAUUAGCGGGGUCCUCUUUGCCGAUCCUCGACAUGUGAUAAGAUGUUUCCGUGUCUUGGUUUCUGGCUCUGUUGCUUUUGGGAUCCGCUUCAAACCGUCUCGAGCUUGCAUCGAGACAAUGUUCGAGCUUGUCUCCCUUCUCGGGAAACUCUCUCGACCCCACGAACCCUUGGCCUCAAAUCGGGUGAGACUACCCGCUGAACUUAAG
rnacentral:misc_RNA from 1 species